AUGACCGAGAGCCUGACACCUGAUGCUAGCGGCUUUUGUCUCGCCAAGUUGACCCAGUAUUUGGCCACCUUGUGCGGCGGGUGACUAUGGUGUCCAGUGGAAACAUGUAGGACAGUGGAAACCUGUCAAGGAAGGGAGCCUAAGAGGUCCAAAAAGGUAUAUAUAUGUAUUACCUGAAAGCCCAGGGCAGUUGUUGCCUUGGGUCAUGCAGAGAAUAUGCAGCCACACCCAUGCCUUAGAUGUGUGUAAUUCAAGUGGAGAAGACACAAGCCAGUGGUCGCAAUAUCAACACUUGAGUGUUCUGUAAACGGAUUGGUGUCAGCAGAAAACCAACAGUGAUGUGGUGGCACACAGUGAACUGACAGGACCCAGGCAGCAGCGGUUCUUUUGGUGGCAAUGGUGCCAUGUCAUGGGUACUCUCCUUGCUGAUGGCAGAUACCGACAGGCAAACUGUUGCCUUGCGUUUAGCUCUGUUAACCAUUGACAGUAAGAUUUAUCAGAGGUUGCAGCUGCACAUGGCCAUGAGGUAAACCUUGCCCCUGUUUGAAAUUGAGUUUCAUCAGCUUCUACAUGGGAUUAUAAGGACUUGGAAUAUAUCACAGACCCAGCAGGGUUUCCCCCCUCAUUUUUUUUUUUUAAGAUUUAUUUUUCUUCCUAAAGAUAACAUGCUUAAACAAAGUUCUUUAUGGUUAGUAACUGUGAUGCUUGAAGUUGGUUAUCCCUUACUCCAGUAAAUUUUAAAUGUCAAAGAUAUCUUGUUAAAUAAAAAAAAAACUAUCAAAA
rnacentral:lncRNA from 1 species